rnacentral:rRNA from 1 species
UACGUAGGGUGCAAGCGUUGCCCGGAAUUAUUGGGCGUAAAGAGCGUGUAGGCGGCCCGAUUAGUCCGCUGUGAAAGUCCAGGGCUCAACCCUGGAAUGUCGGUGGAUACUGUCGGGCUAGAGUCCGGAAGGGGCGAGUGGAAUUCCUGGUGUAGCGGUGAAAUGCGCAGAUAUCAGGAGGAACACCAAUGGCGAAGGCAGCUCGCUGGGACGUGACUGACGCUGAGACGCGAAAGCGUGGGGAGCAAACAGG